GACGAACGCUGGCGGCGUGCUUAACACAUGCAAGUCGAACGAAAAGGCCCUGCUUUUGUGGGGUGCUCGAGUGGCGAACGGGUGAGUAACACGUGAGUAACCCGCCCCUGACUUUGGGGUAUCUUCAGGAAACUCGGGCUCAUACCCCAUAGGAGCUCUUGCUGCAUGGUGGUGGUUGGAAAGUUUCGGCGGUUGGGGCUGGACUCGCGGCUUAUCAGCUUGAUGGUGGGGUAGUGGCUGACCAAGGCUAUGACGGGUAGCCGGCCUGAGAGGGGAAGCGGCCACAUGAGGCCUGAGAUACGGCCCAGACUACAAUGGGAGGCAGCGGUGGAGAGUAUUACACAAGGGGCGGAAGGCAGAUGUAGCAAAGCCGCGUGCGGGAUGACGGCCUUCGGGUUGUAAACCGCUUUGGACUUACACGAAGCGGGAGUGACGGUACCGGGUAAAGAAGCGCCGGCUAACUACGUG
rnacentral:rRNA from 1 species